rnacentral:misc_RNA from 1 species
GAUGAAGAACGUAGCGAAAUGCGAUAAGUAAUGUGAAUUGCAGAAUUCAGUGAAUCAUCGAAUCUUUGAACGCACCUUGCGCUCCCUGGUAUUCCGGGGAGCACGCCUGUUCGAGUGUCGCGAUAUUCUUCAAGCCUUGGAUGGAUUUUUUUUUUGUCUGUCCUUGGGCUUGGUUGUUGGGCUCUGCCGUGUCCUUCAUUGGGACGGCUGGCCUUAAAAGCAUUAGCCGAUCCUCGUGUGGUACUGGUUCUACUCAGCGUGAUAACAAUCUGAUCGUUGAGGACAUCUUCUGGAUGGCCAGUCAUCAUUUGGGUUGCUUCUAAACCGGUUUCGCAGAUUGCUCAAUCUGUGUGCCACUUUUCAGCUUUGACCUCGAAUCAGGUGGGACUACCCGCUGAACUUAAGCAUAUCAAUAAGCGGAGGA